CCUACGGGUGGCUGCAGUGGGGAAUAUUGCACAAUGGGGGAAACCCUGAUGCAGCGACGCCGCGUGAGUGAAGAAGUAUUUCGGUACGGAAAGCUCUAUCAGCAGGGAAGAAAAUGACGGUACCUGACUAAGAAUCCCCGGAUAACUACGUGCCAGCAGCCGCGGUAAUACGUCGGGGGCAAGCGUUAUCCGGAUUUACUGGGUGUAAAGGGAGCGUAGACGGCAGCGCAAGUCUGGAGUGAAAUCCCAGGGCUUAACCAUGGAACUGCUGUGGAAACUGGGCAGCUAGAGUGCAGGAGAGGUAAGCGGAAUUCCUAGUGUAGCGGUGAAAUGCGUAGAUAUUAGGAGGAACACCAGUUGCGAAGGCGGCUUACUGGACUGUAACUGACGUUGAGGCUCGAAAGCGUGGGGAGCAAACAGGAUUAGAUACCCUAGUAGUC
rnacentral:rRNA from 1 species